CUCUUACUCCCUCCGUUCUAAAAUUUGUGUCUUAGAUUUGUCUAGAUAUGAAUGUACCUAGUCAUGUUUUAAUAUUUAGAUACAUUCAUUUUUAGACAAACCUAAGACAAGAAUUUUAGGAUGGAGGGAGUAUUUC
rfam:Hordeum vulgare subsp. vulgare, WGS project CAJW01000000 data, contig: morex_contig_117805